rnacentral:lncRNA from 1 species
GAGCAUCAUCACCUCAGCACACAAUAAAUUAAUUCACAUCAUGGUCAAAGAGUCUCCAAUUCAAAAGGAGCAAUAACUUUGAUGAUUACUGGAAAUAAAUUCAGGGAAAUUAAUGACUACUGGAAUCGUAUAUAGAAAUAAUUAAUUUCAUCCAGAAAAGAGAGAGGAGAUUUAUUCAUAUCAACAUAAAGUUUGAUUUAUUCUAAACCAUCAUCAAAUCGUAAAACAUAUAUAGAAUAGAAGGAAAGCAUAUUACAUAAUUGAUAUAACUCUAGCAGAGCUAGAGUAAAACUAUAUGUCAAAUGCAGCCGCUGCUUCAAUAUCCUGGUGGUGGCGGCGGUGGUACACGAGGAGGAGGGCUUUUGAACUGAACAGGAACAUUGGGCCUAGGAGAUGGUGGCCAAGAUUUAGAUACCCUUCUGGACACAAUCUUUAAUUUAUGAGGGAAAUAUUGAGAAGAAUAUUCACCGGAAACAACUUCAGUACUAGCCAUGGCCAUCAGAAUAGUUUGUGAAAGAACCAAGCUAUUGAUCAAGAUGAAAGUAAUAAGCAAGCAUGAAUAUUUGACCUCCAUCGGUUACUAUGAUCAUUCCUGUAGGUACACACCUAAGCAUUUGUGGCUUAUAUAAAUACUACAUGUGGUAGCCAGCUUGAUUAAUUUCAAGACUUUUUCAACCAGAUAUGAGUUGUUG